rnacentral:misc_RNA from 1 species
UUUCCGUAGGUGAACCUGCGGAAGGAUCAUUAAAAAUAUCACAGUUUAUGUGUGAUUAAUAAUCAUCCUACCCUUUGUGAAUUUGUUUUGUUGAAAAUUUAUGUGUCUAUCCCUGAUGGUUUUUGGAAAGUUGAAAAACUUUUUCAAAUCCUCAGGACUAGGCUUUCAUAGACCUUUUUUAAAUUAAACUUUUGUAUUCAUUUGUCUAAAUUAUUUUAAUAAUUUAAAAACAACUUUUGACAAUGGAUCUCUUGGUUCUCGCAACGAUGAAGAACGCAGCAAAAUGCGAUAAGUAAUGUGAAUUGCAGAAUACGUGAAUCAUCAAAUCUUCGAACGCAUAUUGCACUUUCUAGUUUACUAGAAAGUAUGUCUGUUUGAGUAUCAGUAAAAUAUUCUCAUAAAAACAUUGUUUUUUAUGGUUAUGAGUGUUUUACAACGAUAAACAAGUGUUUCACUUUAAAUUGAUUUUUAAAGCCAAUUUGGUUUAUCUAAUAAAAUUGGAUAAAAUUUCCCGUAAAAAGGAAUAAACUUUCAGUUUUAAAGAUAAAACUUUUAAUUGAGCCUAAUUAAAAGGAAAUUUAACUAAAUAACUUGAUCUCAAAUCAGAUAAGAGUACCGCUGAACUUAAGCAUAUCAAUAAGCGGAGGAAAAGAAACUAACAAGAUUCCUUAGUAACGGCGAGUGAAGCGGGAAGAGCUCAAAUUUGAAAUCUUCAAGUUCUACCUUGACGAAUUGUAGUUUAUAGAAGUGUUUUCUGUUAGUGGAGUGCAAAAGUUCUUUGGAAUAGGACAUCAUAGAGGGUGAGAAUCCCGUAUUUGGUCAUUCCUCUAGCGUUGUGAUACACUUUCAACGAGUCGGAUUGUUUGGGAAUGCAGUCCAAAUGGGUGGUAAAUUUCAUCUAAAGCUAAAUAUUGGCGAGAGACCGAUAGCGAACAAGUACCGUGAGGGAAAGAUGAAAAGAACUUUGAAAGAGAGUUAAACAGUACGUGAAUUGUCAAAAGGGAAGCGUUUGACACCAGUGUUGUUUUUCCGAAAAUCAAUUACGAAUGUUUGUUUUUGAGGAGUUAUGACUUCAUCGGCUUGCUCCUUUCUUUACGAAACUUUCUUAAUGCACUUUUCGGUUAACAAGUCAACAUCAAUUUCUUUUGUUGUAAAAGGGUAUGAGGAAGGUGGCUUUCUUUUCGGAGAAAGUGUUUAUAGCCUUGUGCCUCUGCAAUCGGAGAGAUUGAGGUCUGCAGCGUAGAUCUUCGGGUUAGAUACGUUUGUGCUAAGUUAUAGCUUUCAUAGACAACUUGUUGACUAUGUUUAGUCUUGUAGCUACUCGCUUACGCUAUUU